rnacentral:rRNA from 1 species
UGAGGAAUAUUGGUCAAUGGGCGCAAGCCUGAACCAGCCAUGCCGCGUGAAGGAUGAAGGUUCUAUGGAUUGUAAACUUCUUUUAUUUGGGAAUAAACCUCUUUACGUGUAGAGAGCUGAAGGUACCAAAUGAAUAAGCACCGGCUAACUCCGUGCCAGCAGCCGCGGUAAUACGGAGGGUGCAAGUGUUAUCCGGAAUCAUUGGGUUUAAAGGGUCCGCAGGCGGAUUUAUAAGUCAGUGGUGAAAGCCUACAGCUCAACUGUAGAACUGCCAUUGAUACUGUAAGUCUUGAAUUUGGUCGAAGUGGGCGGAAUAUGACAUGUAGCGGUGAAAUGCUUAGAUAUGUCAUAGAACACCGAUAGCGAAGGCAGCUCACUAGGCCAGUAUUGACGCUCAUGGACGAAAGCGUGGGGAGCAAA